UACAGAGGUCUCAAGCGUUGUUCGGAUUCAUUGGGCGUAAAGGGUGCGUAGGCGGCGCGGUAAGUCGGGUGUGAAAUCUCGGGGCUUAACUCCGAAACUGCAUUCGAUACUGCCGUGCUUGAGGACUGGAGAGGAGACUGGAAUUUACGGUGUAGCGGUGAAAUGCGUAGAUAUCGUAAGGAAGACCAGUGGCGAAGGCGGGUCUCUGGACAGUUCCUGACGCUGAGGCGCGAAAGCUAGGGGAGCGAACAGG
rnacentral:rRNA from 1 species